UAUAUGGGGGACAUAUUGUUUUUGCCCUGUUUGUUGGUUUGUUGCUUUGUGUGUUUGUUUGCCCCAACAUUUUGCAAUAACUUUUGCUAUAUUUAUGCCCCCCUUCGAAGAAGAGGGGGUAUAUUGCUUUGCUCAUGUUGGUCGGUCGGUCGGUCCGUCCACCAGGUGGUUGUCAGACGAUAACUCAAGAUAGCUUGGGCCUAGGAUCAUGAAACUUCAUAGGUACACUGAUCAUGACUUGCAGAUGACCCCUAUUGAUUUUGAGGUCACUAGGUCAAAGGUCAAGGUCACGGUGACCCGAAAUAGUAAAAUGGUUUCCGGAUGAUAACUCAAGAACGCAUACGCCUAGGAUCAUGAAACUUCAUGGGUAGAUUGAUCAUGACUCGCAGAUGACCCGUAUUGAUUUUGAGGUCACUAGGUCAAAGGUCAAGGUCACGGUGACCCGAAAUAGUAAAAUGGUUUUCGGAUGAUAAUUCAAGAACGCAUAUGCCUAGGAUCAUGAAACUUUAUAGGUAGAUUGAUCAUGACUUGCAGAUGACCCCUAAUGAUUUUCAGGUCACUAGGUCAAAGGUCAAGGUCACGGUGACCCGAAAUAGUAAAAUGAUUUUCGGAUGAUAACUCAAGAACGCAUAUGCCUAGGAUCAUGAAACUUCAUAGGUAGAUUGAUCAUGACUUGCAGAUGACCCCUAUAGAUUUUGAGGUCACAAGGUCAAAGGUCAAGGUCACGGUGAAUCGAAAUAGUAAAAUGAUUUUCGGAUGAUAACUCAAGAACGCAUAUGCCUAGGAUCAUGAAACUUCAUAGGUACAUUGAUCAUGACUCGCAGAUGACCCCUAUUGAUUUUGAGGUCACUAGGUCAAAGGUCAAGGUCACGGUGACCCGAAAUAGUAAAAUGGUUUUUGAAUGAUAACUCAAGAACACAUAUGCCUAGGAUCAUGAAACUUCAUGGGUAGAUUGAUCAUUACUUGCAGAUGACCCCUAUUGAUUUUGAGGUCACUAGGUCAAAGGUCAAGGUCACGGUGACCCGAAAUAGUAAAAUGGUUUCCGGAUGAUAACUCAAGAACACAUACGCCUAGGAUCAUGAAACUUCAUGGGUAGAUUGAUCAUGACUCCCAGAUGACCCCUAUUGAUUUUGAGGUCACUAGGUCAAAGGUCAAGGUCACGGUGACCCGAAAUAGUAAAAUGGUUUUUGAAUGAUAACUCAAGAACACAUAUGCCUAGGAUCAUGAAACUUCAUGGGUAGAUUGAUCAUGACUUGCAGAUGACCCCUAUUGAUUUUGAGGUCACUAGGUCAAAGGUCAAGGUCACGGUGACCCGAAAUAGUAAAAUGGUUUCCGGAUGAUAACUCAAGAACGCAUACGCCUAGGAUCAUGAAACUUCAUGGGUAGAUUGAUCAUGACUCCCAGAUGACCCCUAUUGAUUUUGAGGUCACUAGGUCAAAGGUCAAGGUCACGGUGACCCGAAAUAGUAAAAUGGUUUUCGGAUAACUCAAGAACGCAUACGCCUAGGAUCAUGAAACUUCAUUGGUAGAUUGAUCAUGACUUGCAGAUUACCCCAAUUGAU